rnacentral:rRNA from 1 species
UGCGUAGGCGGCUUGGUAAGUCACUUGUGAAAUCCCGUUGCUCAACGACGGGGCCGCAGGUGAGACUGCCUGGCUAGAGCUUGGUAGGGGCGAGUGGAAUUCCCGGUGUAGCGGUGGAAUGCGUAGAGAUCGGGAAGAACACCGGUGGCGAAGGCGGCUCGCUGGGCCAAUGCUGACGCUGAUGCACGAAAGCGUGGGGAGCAAACAGGAUUAGAUACCCUGGUAGUCCACGCCGUAAACGAUGGGUACUAGGCGUCGGGGGGAGCGACCCCUUCGGUGCCGUCGCUAACGCAGUAAGUACCCCGCCUGGGGAGUACGGCCGCAAGGCUGAA